rnacentral:rRNA from 1 species
CUAACUACGUGCCAGCAGCCGCGGUAAUACGUAGGGGGCUAGCGUUAUCCGGAUUUACUGGGCGUAAAGGGUGCGUAGGCGGUCUUUCAAGUCAGGAGUGAAAGGCUACGGCUCAACCGUAGUAAGCUCUUGAAACUGGGAGACUUGAGUGCAGGAGAGGAGAGUGGAAUUCCUAGUGUAGCGGUGAAAUGCGUAGAUAGUAGGAGGAACACCAGUUGCGAAGGCGGCUCUCUGGACUGUAACUGACGCUGAGGCACGAAAGCGUGGGGAGCAAACAGGAUUAGAUACCCUGGUAGUCCACGCUGUAAACGAUGAGUACUAGGUGUCGGGGGUUACCCCCUUCGGUGCCGCAGCUAAC